rnacentral:tRNA from 1 species
AAAGGGAGACCUAAUUCAGGUAUAAGACGAAAAAAAAGUAGUCCCUACCAAGAAUCAAUCCCAAAAGGUCGGAACGAGGUAUGAGGCUUUCAAACUAGGUUCUGGGUUCAUAAAAGACCUGAAUCAGGAACAAGGGCUAUUAGCUCAGGUGGUUAGAGCGCACCCCUGAUAAGGGUGAGGUCCCUGGUUCGAGUCCAGGAUGGCCCACCUGCACAGGUGGCAAAAACAAAGAAAAGAAGCGAGGAAUCAGCACCUUAUCUUACUUAUAUAGUAAGAGAGAAUGCUGGCUCUGAGUACAGAGUCCAGAGGAACCUUGAAAACUGCAUAGAGCUAGGUGAAAAAGCCAAAAAAGAAGACCGCAAG